AGGGAGUAAGUGCGGAGUGCCAUAGUUAUUUUUAGUUGGUUAUUAACUGAACCGUGUAUGCUCCCACGUAAACAGAGUCCUUGACAUUAUAUUUGGGACCUUCAUUCCCUCGAUGUCUAUAUGCUGGCAUAAUAUUCAUAUUUGUGCGCCAACAAGAACCAAUUAUAUAGACUCAACAUUUAAAAUUUAUUUAGAACUUGAUUCUUCAAACUAGAUUAAAUUUUUCUAGAGUUGAUUUGAUGCUAUAG
rnacentral:lncRNA from 1 species